CACGUAGGGUGCGAGCGUUGUCCGGAAUUAUUGGGCGUAAAGAGCUCGUAGGCGGUGUGUCGCGUCGGCCGUGAAAACCUGCAGCUUAACUGUGGGCUUGCGGUCGAUACGGGCAUCACUGGAGUUCGGCAGGGGAGACUGGAAUUCCUGGUGUAGCGGUGAAAUGCGCAGAUAUCAGGAGGAACACCGGUGGCGAAAGCGGCUCGCUGGCCCGGUUCUGACGCUGAGGCGCGAAAGCGUGGGGAGCAAACAGG
rnacentral:rRNA from 1 species